rnacentral:lncRNA from 1 species
GCCAGCUUGCUAACGGUCUUGCCCCAUUCAGAUGCAUCGAACUCACAGAACAUCGCUCCCCAGAUGCUGGCUUGCGGUUCUGAGAGUGCCUGAAUAGAAAACCACUCAUUUCCCUUCGCAAAAGAGGCGCCCAAAGCAGAUAUUUCAAUAUAUUCCGAUUUAGCCGAGGGAAGCCAGAACAUGGAUGUUGUUGCCAAGGAAACCACCUCCUUCCUCCUGUGUGCUGUGCAUACGUGUAUCACUUCAUCUCUCUGCUCUCCAAGCUUGAAUAUAGAUCUGACGUGGAUUUCCUGCCCCAGUUCCGAAGUCUACCUGGUGCCCCAGCCGAACCUGCCCUGGCUCCUAGGUGGGGUAUGGACAUCUGUGGCAUCCCUCCCCAACACCCCACCAAGCUGGGCUGCAAGACGGGUUAUGGUGGCCCCAUGACUUUCUUCCUUG